rnacentral:lncRNA from 1 species
UCUCAGUCCACACCCCAUCGCAUGGCUUCCUAGGGAAUUCCUACUUUAUUCCUGGUCUCUGAAUCCUUCCACUUGGCCACUCAAGAGCUCUGACUCAUUCCUGAGCUUGGUCCCACCUGGCCCUUCAAAAGCCUCUGCCUGACAGCACUGCCUAAGUUAAAGAAAGUUCUGGAACUUUAGAAUGACAGGACUUUGAGAGCAAGGCCUUGGUGCCAGUACUUAGUCCUACGCUCUCUGUUGGAUUCAGUCAGGGCUGUAGUUUAUCCUCAUUGGACUCUAGAGGGUGCCUACCAAGACAUAUUUCUCACAACCAGGUUGUCACUUCUUGACAUUGGGUGGCGCCAUUCACGGACCAUGGAUCUGGGUUUAUUUUCUUAAGCCACUUUCUGUUUCCCCCUUGGGAUCCACCUUGUGAGCUUGGAGCCAAAGAAACCAUUUCUUCAUGUAAUAGAUGUGAUGAAUUGAUUUCAGGUUUAUUCUCAGAUGUUCCAAGAUCCUGGUCUAGUUUGGUUACCCUCCUAAGAGCAUUCAAAUUAUCUUCAUGGGUGGUAAAGUAUCACCCAUCACCAGAAAGUAAUAAGUAUCAUGUAUCCCAUGACCCUUGGAAUCUGCUACUGUCAAGGUGGCAUAUCCAAAGUGGACAAUCUUAGUUGAUUCAUUAGUGAUUGACAGUUAGUUGACAAUUAGUGAUUAACACUAAAUCCUAAAGGUUGGAUAUCCCUGUCCUAAAAAAAUUGAUAAUAAAAAUGAAUAUUUGUUCAGCAUGAAUAUCCUAAGAAUCUAAAGUACCAAGAAAGGUGGCAUAAAACGGAGGAAGGAUCCUGGAGGAAAUGAAAUGGAAGAGACCCAGAGAGUCAUCGCACAGAAAAAGCCUGGGAUAGAUGAGCAAUGAUGGAUCUAGAUAGCAGACACCACUCCAGGGAGAUACCAGCCUCAACUCGCUUUUAUUCUGGGGUGGACAGUAAAGUCAGUGAGCUGCAGAGAUGGAAGUUCUGACAAUCUAUCCAAUGUCAGAGGCAAAGAAGGACCAACAGGUUGGAAUCGUGCAGAGUCUAUUUCCCAGAAGCCAAGCCUUCAUGGAUUGCUGAAGUUGAUGAGGUCCACGGAUUUUACCUGGGCAGGGUGAGGAUAAGGAAUGACUGGGGAAAGACAAGU